GUAUUGCUCAAUAGGCAGAGUAUGAAACUCUUAAUCUCAAAGUCAUGGGUUUGAGCCCCACGUUGGUGCAACG